AUCGCUUCUCGGCUCUUCGGAGCUAAGAUCAAAAGUGUAGUGUCUGUUCUUAUCAGUUUAAUCUCUGAUAAGUCCUUUAUUUAAGGACUGUGUGUUGAAUUGAUUUUUGGGACAGGGGGCUGGGCUUGGAGCUUGCUCCAUCCACCCCAUGCAUCGACCUGGUAUUGCAGUAACUCCAGGACCGGUGCAUCCCCU
rnacentral:snRNA from 1 species